CCUUGUACACACCGCCCGUCACACCAUGGGAGUUGGUUUUACCUGAAGGCGGUGCGCCAACCCGCAAGGGAGGCAGCCGACCACGGUAGGGUCAGCGACUGGGGUG
rnacentral:rRNA from 1 species